GAAUUUUCCUCGGAAGAAGAACUAAGAGUGGCAACCACACCCACAAUGUUCACUAAAAAUGAGGCAUUGUAAGAUGAUUGAAAACAUUUUAUGGCAUGUUCUAUAGAUCCCAAGUGAAUGAGCCUAAGGACAAGGCUUUGAAUAGAGGGCAAGGAACUAGUGACACUCAUGUAUGCUUCGAUAUCAUAAAAAAUGGUUGCACUCAAAUCUGGGCAAGAUUGAAGAAAAUGAGAAGCGGAGGGAGCCU